rnacentral:rRNA from 1 species
GACAGAGGAUGCAAGCGUUAUCCGGAAUUAUUGGGCGUAAAGCGUCUGUAGGUGGCUUUUUAAGUUCGCCGUCAAAUCCCAGGGCUCAACCCUGGACAGGCGGUGGAAACUACCAAGCUGGAGUACGGUAGGGGCAGAGGGAAUUUCCGGUGGAGCGGUGAAAUGCGUAGAGAUCGGGAGGAACACCAGAGGCGAAGGCGGCGACCUGGACAGGCACUGACACUCAACUACGAAAGCGUGGGGAGCAAACAGG